GACGAACGCUGGCGGCGUGCUUAACACAUGCAAGUCGAGCGGUAAGGCCCUUCGGGGUACGACGAGCGGCGAACGGGUGAGUAACACGUGGGUGACCUGCCUCUAGCUCUGGGAUAAGCCUGGGAAACUGGGUCUAAUACCGGAUAUGACUCCACGGCGCAUGUUGUGGGGUGGAAAGCCUUGUGUGGCUAGAGAUGGGCCCGCGGCCUAUCAGCUUGUUGGUGGGGUGAUGGCCUACCAAGCGGCGACGGUAGCCGGCCUGAGAGGGCGACCGGCCACACUGGGACUGAGACACGGCCCAGACUCCUACGGGAGGGCAGCAGUGGGGAAUCUUGCGCAAUGGGCGAAAGCCUGACGCAGCGACGCCGCGUGAGGGAUGACGGCCU
rnacentral:rRNA from 1 species